UACGUAGGGUGCGAGCGUUAAUCGGAAUUACUGGGCGUAAAGCGUGCGCAGGCGGUUUUGUAAGCCAGAUGUGAAAUCCCCGGGCUCAACCUGGGAAUGGCAUUUGGGACUGCAAGGCUUGAGUGCGGCAGAGGAGACUGGAAUUCCUGGUGUAGCAGUGAAAUGCGUAGAUAUCAGGAGGAACACCGGUGGCGAAGGCGGGUCUCUGGGCAGUAACUGACGCUGAGGAGCGAAAGCGUGGGUAGCAAACAGG
rnacentral:rRNA from 1 species